ACCGUUCCCUCGGUCAAAGCCCAACCCCUCGCUCUCGCGCAGCUCCUCUGCUCUUGCAACCCUAGCAAGCCACCACCCCGUCGCCGUCCGGCCGCCGCGCCGCCGUGAGUCUCCGCCGCCGCCGCCCCUCGCAUCUCCGCUCGUCCCGCAGGUAUCCUUCCAUCGCCGCCAGAAGUCCGCAUAGAGUCAUCUCCUGCCUCUGCCGCCACCCCCUUCCGUUGGUCGCCGUCGGCAGCCGCACGGACUACUCCUGGACAGGACUGCAGAUCCUCGCGCCAGAGAAUCCCUUCCCCCAGCUCAAGGUGAGCAGCCCCCUCCUGUACCAUUGAUUUGGCUAGUUUGUACAGUGUAUGGAGCUGCUCUCUGCUGCCGAACGAAUCACUGCUCCCGUCGAAAGCUAGCGGCGGCCGGCUUCUCGGGAAGCUGGCUAUUCCCUGAAGCUGGAGAAGACCCGAAGGGGCCCUAAGCCUCUCACUGACAUAUUGAUUUGACAUGCGCUUUGAGUUUCUUCAUCAAUUUUCACCUUUCAUACCACAAAUACCAAGCCGUCGUUGCCAUCGUUUCUCUGAACUUCGGCAAGUACCUUUUCUUGGGUUCUUUAACCUUGGGGAUCAAGACAACAGAGGUACCUUUUCUUUAGCCGAACAGAGUUAUUAUUCCACCCGAAGAAAGCAGUUUUUUAGACUAGUAAGCGUGCACGUGCAACGCACGUUUUAUAAUCCACAAUAGAAACAUCUUUGAAUUUUGUUAGUUAUUCUUUUAGCGAGUUUUUUUCUAACCGUGCCACUUAAAUAUGUCCCAUGCGCAAUGAUGUGAGCGAGUGUAACACAUAUCUUCACAUAAAAUUCAUGACCACAUAAACAUAUUAUAAUUAGUUAUAAAAAUACUUAAGAAACAAGUAAGCAACAUCCUCACAAUUAAUUCUUUGAUGGUUCUCUCUUAAAGGUCAAUCUAUUUAUGACAUUUAUAAUGCUUCAUUCUUUGUUCCAUAUCUGGGACAUUGUUUAGAGAUUCAUUUCCUGCAUACAUCAAAAUAUGUAUCAAAAAAUCGUCUUCUCUGUACACUGUCUUCGUACAUAUGCAUUAUAUACAACAAUGUUAUAAAAAAUUCAUGUGCAACAUGUAUACAUAGUUACUUUUCAAAUAGCAAUAUACCAUAAUAAUUAUGAAGAUACAUACCGAAUAUACCUGUUUAGAAGUGUUGGAUGAAAAAUCCCCCGUAAAGUACUCCAUGAAUUUAACAUCCACAGACCAUAGGAUGAGCAUGAUUUACAGAAUUUGAAUAUAUUAUAAAUAAAAAUAAUUAUCAAUUUAUAUAAAUAGUUUUAUAAAAAUAAUUGAAAACAUUAAAUUAUCAUGACUGAACCUUUAUUUUUAACCCUUGCCCUAUCUACAAGAAGAAUCGCACGACUCCAGCUAAAUAGGACACGCUCUAAUAAUCCUUAAAAAAUGACACGCUGGAAUAAAAAAAUGGAAGGCCCAGACCCCACACUCACUCACGGUCUCAAACCCAUCACCUACCUCCCCACCGCCCAUCGAGUUGCUGCCCCUGUCUCUCAGUCGUUCCCCAUUCCGUAAUCUUCAGCUCCCUCUCACGACCUCACCCUCCCCUUCGUCCCUACCUCUAGCGCGAGGACUCACACGCCCUGCUCUUCCCCGCCCCUUCCAGUUGAACCCGGUCGCCGAAGUGCACGAGGAGGCGCUCGAGCUAGUCGUGCUCGCGGGCGAGCCGGCCUUAGGCGACGUCGGAGGCGGAUGCGGAGGCGUGGGACUCACCGGCGGCGACGCCCUGCCCUGCCUGGCCUCACCCGCGGUGAGACACGCCGUCCCGCGUCACCCGCGCCCAGCUCGAGUACGAAGGCGUGGAGCAAGAUGGCGGGGCCGCCGUGGCCGUGGCGGCGGGUUGUGGUGGUCGAUCUCGGCGAGGCGGCGACGACUGCGGCUCCAUGGCGAGCGCGAGGAGGGAGCGGCGGAGGUUGGUGCGCCACGGAGGAAGUUGAAGAGCGAGGGCGUGAGGGGCUGGCCAUCCUCGCGAAGCCGGUGGAAAGGGGGCUUCGAUCCUGUCUGAUGCAAUUAUUCUUGGGGUUCUUGUAUAAGAGAUAUAUCUACGGUGCUCAGCUCAGCCUACCUUCGAUUCGUACGGCGUCGCCCAUGGAUCCUCAUGUCAGUUUAGGAAUUUCCCCCAUCAAUUUGGUUUCCUGCUUUACGGUCAUGCAAUGCCAAUUUAGGAUCAUGUGAAAAUAAAUUCAAUCUGUAUCUGGUGCGAGGCCGUCCAAGUCAGCCCGUGCCUCUGCAUUUUCUGUCCAUGUUUUUGGCUAAUUUUAGAAGUCCCCGCCAUGAAUGAAAAGAAAACAUGGACAGAAUAGUCCAUUUCCAUCUUGCUAGUUUUGCAUAAACAAGACACUACGGAGGAUUGAGAGAUGGUGAAAUUGAACAAAAUAAAUAAAUUAGGAGGUGUCUACUCAUAAUAAUACUUAGCCAUGCUAGUUUGUCAUCUUUAUUUGCAUCACUUGUUCAUCAUGUAUUAUAUCUUUAUUAAGCAACUUUUUUAUGUUUAGAACUCUUUAUGGCUGAAUCUGGUUAGGCACAUUUUCAGUUCAGUUUUGCCGUAUAGUUAUCUUCUGAUGGCUGCAUGCAGCUUUUCACCCUUCAGUAAGGAGUCCUUUAUUUGUUGUAGAUCCUUGUCGCCCAUGAGUGAUGGACGCUGUAUGGUUAUGCAGUGCUGCUGGUGUGAAGGUUAUUACCCUUUAUGGUUUAUUUUUCUUUGAUCAUAUCUUCUUUCCAUCUAUAUCUACUUCAAAUAUUCUUUCCAUGGAAUCUCAACCGAUUGGGUUUGUAAUAGGAGGUUUGGAUCAUGCAGUUUGCAGAUAUUCAAUUAUAAAAUAUUUGUGGUUCAUCAGUUCCUUUUGUGCAUGUUGUGAAGAAUGUGUCAUAUGAGCCAAGAUUCAAACGCUUCUGGAUGUGAAUUUGACAAAACGGAUCAUCUUAGGUACUAAUAGAAAUAUUUACUUCCAAAUUUCCAAUUUCUCCUUCAUGUGGCCAUGUUACAGAUAUUUGAUUAAAAAAAUCUUUACUACACAUGAUCUGCCUAUGUUACAAAUAUUUGAUUAAAAAAUUCUGUUUCAACGGAUAUUGGAUUUUGUUACGGUCUGGUUCAUUCUCACUGUUGUUUAAUCUUUCAGUUUGGGGGUGUCUCUCUUCUGUAUAUUGAUAACUAUCUGUUUCUAGUAGGAUGAGUGUCCUGAAGAAUCGGAAGAUGCUGCAAAACAUGAUGAUGUGAUACUGCCAUGCUAUUUCUACCGGUCUCUCUGCUAGUGCCUUAUCGCUCGUUCACCAAUCUCCAUCCUCACCAUGGUCUCUGUACUCAACAAGGGUGAACUCUACAAGUUCUAGUAGGCUCCUCGGUGACUCCUCACAGGAGAGCUUUUGGCCUGAUCUGAUGGAGCUGAGAGGUAUGCAUGCAAGUUUAGCUGAUUUCCUUUACUGAUCUGUAGCGGCAUAGUUGAUUUGUCACAGUAAAAGAGAUAGGGCGGUCUGAUUGUGCAAAAUGAACUCUACAUAUGUAUAGCUCUUAGUUCUUGUUACAGUCAAACAUGAACCAUUUCCACAUAGAAAACCAUUAAUUAGAGAUGUAAAACGAAAGGCUUAUAGCAUUCUGUUGUCCAACUGUUUAUAUUUUUUAGAACUCUAUUCUCAAAAUUAUAAUCCCAAGUAAUGCUGCAACAGGUCAAAGGAAGAAGUCAAACCUGAAGAAGUGCAGGGAGGAAAUUACAGCUGCGUGUGUCCGGCUGGUUCAGGGGAUGUGCAGGGCGGCCGUAGCCAUGCGGGUGUCGAGGCAGGCGAUCUCGCGGAUGGAUGCCAUGCUGCGAGGGUAGGUUCCUGGGCGCCCGCUACGUUGAUGACGGAUUCCACGCUGCGAGCGGCAACAAUCGGCGACAAUCGGCGAUGGCGAUCGUGCAGGGAGGCGACGGUGUUGGUGGGCGGCAUCUGGUGCGGUGGUGACUCAAGGCAGACAAACGUCGAGGUCAAGGGCGAGGGAGCAGAUUUGAUUGAGUUUCCUUAGUUUGCGAUUUGAUUGCGUGAUUGUAGGGAAACACGGGAGGGAGCAGAUUUGGUUGUGUUUCCUUAGUUUGCGAUCUGAUUGCGUGAUUGCAGGGAAACAUGGGAUUGGUUGUUGGAAUACUCCUCUGGUGGUGGAGUACGGUCAGUCAUUAGAAAUUGCUAAGUACACACCAUCCCGCUAUUAGAUAAAUGAUGGCCGUUAGAUUGAAAUUUGUGGGACUAAUCGUGUGGUUCUGACUGGGUUGUGCGGUGUUGUGGGGGCUAAUAGUGGGGUGCGUGUAAGAAAGUUUUUGUUCGAUUGUUCAAUAGUAGUGGAGAAGUGGAGAUAAUCGUGUGGUUCUGACUGGGUUGUGCGGUGUUGUGGGGGCUAAUAGUAGGGUGCGUGUAAGAAAGUUCUUGUUCGAUUGUUUAAUAGUAGUGGAGAUAAGAAAGUUCUUGUUCGAUUGUUUAAUAGUAGUGGAGAAGUGGAGAUAAUCGUGUGGUUCUGACUGGGUUGUGCGGUGUUGUGGGGGCUAAUAGUG
rnacentral:lncRNA from 1 species